rnacentral:rRNA from 1 species
CUACGGGUGGCUGCAGUCGAGAAUCAUUCACAAUGGAGGCAACUCUGAUGGUGCAACGCCGCGUGGAGGAUGACGGUCCUAGGAUUGUAAACUCCUGUCAUUGGGGAGUAAGACUUAUGCGUUAAGAGCGUGUAAGUUUGAUAGUACCCAAAGAGGAAGGGACGGCUAACUUCGUGCCAGCAGCCGCGGUAAUACGAAGGUCCCAAGCGGUGUUCGGAAUCACUGGGCGUAAAGCGUGUGUAGGCUGCGCGGAAAGUCAAAUGUGAAAGCCCGGGGCUCAACCCCGGAACUGCAUUCGAUACUCCCGCGCUAGAGUGAUGGAGAGGUAAGUGGAAUUCUCGGUGUAGCAGUGAAAUGCGUAGAUAUCGAGAGGAACAUCAAUGGCGAAGGCAACUUACUGGACAUUUACUGACGCUCAGACACGAAGGCCAGGGGAGCAAAAGGGAUUAGAUACCCGAGUAGUC